UUAAUUAAAAUUUAUUAUAAUUUAUAUUUAUUUAAGACUUUACUCAGAAGAUAUUUAUUAUAAUGUGUAAAAAUAUUUCAAUGGUGUUGUUGAGACAAUUAUAAAAAUUGAAAAAAUUAAGAUUUAUCUAGAGUGCUAAAUUUUUAAUAGCAGGCAGUUGUUAAUAAUUGAAGCUGCGGUUGUCAAGGAAAUUAUUAAAUACGUUUCAACAAACAUUUAAGGCUUGGAUACGACCUGUUUGUAUUCAAAGCUUUGCUUACAUAAAGUCAAGAAAUUAGAAGACUUUUCUGGUGUGCACAAAAUACUCUACUAAGAACAUUUGAACUGAAUAAGCAGGUAUCAUUAUUAUGUAAAUGAAAAAAUCAAAAAUUGAGCUGAUAACCUAAAGUGUUGUGAAUACACAAAGGCGACACACCAAACAACAGGAAUGUGGUUCUCAAAUAAUUAUAGUCAAAAGACUAUAGAAGCAUGAGCAACAGAAUCAAGUUAAAAUGUCUAAAAAAUUCUAUAAAUUUGAAGUAUUUCAUUUGUUAUAAAAUAAUUUUUCAUAUAUGGAUCAAAGUGUUUUAAUAUUCAGAGUGUACAUAAAUCAAGUGAUUUGUACAUGUUCAAAAACAGCAAAUAUUUUUUAAGUUUAUGUGAUUACUAAUACCUUAAAUGGAAAAAUAUGAAGUUUAACCUGUUUUUAAGAAAAAUGAAUAAUUUCAAGUUAGUUAUAAUUAACUGAGACAGUAACUUUUAAACCUUUUACAUUGUUUUCCUUUUUUCCAUUUUCUGGUCUUAGAAAUUAAACAUUUAUCUUUAUUUGUCUUAAAAAUUCAAUGUUAAUAAAAGUAUCAUAAAAUUAAUGUCAUCAUAAUGUUAAUGUUAAUAAAAAGUAAGUAAAAUAAA